CCCUUAGAUGUUCUGGGCCGCACGCGCGCUACAAUGGUCUUCGCAAACGGAUGCAUUCUCGAAGGAGAAUGCCAAUCUUGGAAUCUAUGCCUUGGUCGGGACAGUUGCUUGCAAUUUUUCUACUCGAACCAGGAAUUCCUUGUAAUCGUGAUUCAUCACAUCACGAUGAAUACGUCCCUGCCCUUUGUACACACCGCCCGUCGCUCCUACCGAUCGAAGAGUUAGGUGAAUUGUUUUGAUCGAUAAGAUUUGACUAUGGUCAACUCUCGUUGUGAAAUUCUGUGAAUCUGACUGUUUAGAGGAAGGAAAAGUCGUAACA
rnacentral:rRNA from 1 species